GUGCUCGCUUCAGCAGCAUAAAUACUAAAAUUGGAACGGUACAGAGAAGAUUAGCACAGCUCCUAUGCAAGGAUGACAUGCAAAUUUGUGAAGCAUUCCAUAUUUUU
ensembl:snRNA U6 U6 spliceosomal RNA